rnacentral:rRNA from 1 species
CGAAGGGGGCUAGCGUUGUUCGGAUUUACUGGGCGUAAAGCGCACGUAGGCGGAUUGUUAAGUCAGGGGUGAAAUCCCGGAGCUCAACUCCGGAACUGCCUUUGAUACUGGCAAUCUAGAGUCCGGAAGAGGUGAGUGGAACUCCUAGUGUAGAGGUGGAAUUCGUAGAUAUUAGGAAGAACACCAGUGGCGAAGGCGGCUCACUGGUCCGGUACUGACGCUGAGGUGCGAAAGCGUGGGGAGCAAA